AUUGAACGCUGGCGGCAGGCCUAACACAUGCAAGUCGAACGAGUGGCGGACGGGUGAGUAAUGUCUGGGAAACUGACUGAUGGAGGGGGAUAACUACGGGAAACGGUAGCUAAUACCGGAUAACAUAGGAUGUGCCAAGAUGGGAUUAGCUAGUAGGUGGGGUAAAGGCUCACCUAGGCGACUAUCCCUAGCGGGGUUGAGAGGAUGACCAGCCACACUUGAACUGAGACAUGGUCCAGACGCCUACGGGCGGCAGCAGUGGGAAAUAUUGCACAAUGGGCGCAAGCCUGAUCCAGCCAUGCCGCGUGUAUUAAGAAUGCCUUCUGGUUGUAAAGUACUUUCUGCUGGGAGGCUUUGCCCGCAGAAGAAGCACCGGCUAACUCCGUGCCAGCAGCCGCGGUAAUUC
rnacentral:rRNA from 1 species